rnacentral:rRNA from 1 species
UGUGGAGCGUACACAGGUGCUGCAUGGCGUGUCGUCAGCUCGUGUCGUGAGAUGUUGGGUUAAGUCCCGCAACGAGCGCAACCCCUGCAUUCAGUUGCCAUCGGUGAGGCCGGGCACUCUGGAUGGACUGCCGGCGACAAGCCGGAGGAAGGUGGGGACGACGUCAAGUCAUCAUGGCCCUUAUGUCCAGGGCGACACACGUGCUACAAUGGCCGGCACAGCGGGGAAGCGAAGGGGCGACUCUGAGCGGAUCCCUUAAAGCCGGUCCCAGUUCGGAUUGCAGUCUGCAACUCGACUGCAUGAAGUUGGAAUCGCUAGUAAUCGUGGAUCAGCCAAGCCGCGGUGAAUACGUUCCCGGGCCUU